rnacentral:tRNA from 1 species
GGAUGUAUAGUUCAGACGGUAGAACAGCUAGAGCUUAGAACUUAGCAUGUCGUUGGUUCGGUUCCUUCUACAUCCA